UACGAGGGGGGGCGAGCGUUUGUUCGGAAUUAUUGGGGCGUAAAGGGUGCGUAGGCGGCCUGACAAGUCUGAUGUGAAAUCCCUGGGCUCAACCCAGGGCCUGCAUCGGAAACUGUCGGGCUUGAGUAUGGGAGAGGUGAGUGGAAUUUCCGGUGUAGCGGUGAAAUGCGUAGAUAUCGGAAGGAACACCUGUGGCGAAAGCGGCUCACUGGACCUCUUCUAACGCUGAGGCGCGAAAGCCAGGGGAGCAAACGGG
rnacentral:rRNA from 1 species